rnacentral:rRNA from 1 species
UACGUAGGGUGCGAGCGUUAAUCGGAAUUACUGGGCGUAAAGCGUGCGCAGGCGGUUGUGUAAGACAGGUGUGAAAUCCCCGGGCUUAACCUGGGAACUGCGCUUGUGACUGCACAGCUAGAGUAUGGCAGAGGGGGGUGGAAGUUCCACGUGUAGCAGUGAAAUGACGUAGAGAUGUGGAGGAACACCGAUGGCGAAGGCAGCCCCCUGGGCCAAUACUGACGCUCAUGCACGAAAGCGUGGGGAGCAAACAAGGAUUAGAGGUACCCCGGUAA